UUGAAAAGGGAAACGAUUGAAGUCAGUUAUGCCGGUGGGAAUCAACUUAGGAGAAACUCUGAGUGUACUUCUUCGCUUGGCAGGUCAACGUUGAUUUUGGAUGUCAUAAAAUGAUUGAGGGAAGGUAGCUCCUUCGGGAGUGUUAUAGCCCUUGGUAGAUGUGAUGUCUGGGAUCAAGGAUUGCAAUGGAUACCUUUUGGGGCUAGCCGCCUGAUCUCUAAUUGGUAUUGGGUUACGGAUAGCAUGCUGACCGUGAUCUAAUUAUUGGUUAAAAGGUUAGAGCCUGCAUAAAUUCGUUAAGGAUGUUGACGUA
rnacentral:rRNA from 1 species